rnacentral:rRNA from 1 species
CAGUCGCCACGGUAAUACAGAGGGUGCAAGCGUUAAUUGGAAUUACUGGGCGUAAAGCGCGCGUAGGUGGUUUGUUAAGUUGGAUGUGAAAUCCCCGGGCUCAACCUGGGAACUGCAUCCAAAACUGGCAAGCUAGAGUAUGGUAGAGGGUGGUGGAAUUUCCUGUGUAGCGGUGAAAUGCGUAGAUAUAGGAAGGAACACCAGUGGCGAAGGCGACCACCUGGACUGAUACUGACACUGAGGUGCGAAAGCGUGGGGAGCAAACAGGAUUAGAUACCCCGGUAGUCCCUGUCUCUUAUAC